AAAUCGUGAGGGUUCAAGUCCCUCUAUCCCC
rnacentral:tRNA from 1 species